rnacentral:rRNA from 1 species
AUUGAACGCUGGCGGAAUGCUUUACACAUGCAAGUCGAACGGUAGAGGGGGCAACCCCUCGAGAGUGGCGAACGGGUGAGUAAUAUAUCGGAACGUGCCCAGUCGUGGGGGAUAACGUAGCGAAAGUUACGCUAAUACCGCAUACGAUCUAAGGAUGAAAGCGGGGGAUCGCAAGACCUCGCGCGAUUGGAGCGGCCGAUAUCAGAUUAGGUAGUUGGUGGGGUAAAGGCUCACCAAGCCAACGAUCUGUAGCUGGUCUGAGAGGACGACCAGCCACACUGGAACGGAGACACGGUGCAGACUCCGACGGGAGGCAGCAGUGGGGAAUUUUGGACAAUGGACGCAAGUCUGAUCCAGCCAUUCCGCGUGCAGGAUGAAGGCCCUCGGGUUGUAAACUGCUUUUGUACGGAACGAAAAGGUCUCUCUUAAUACGGGGGACUCAUGACGGUACCGUAAGAAUAAGCACCGGCUAACUACGUGCCAGCCGCCGCGGUAA